rnacentral:ribozyme from 1 species
AGAGAGACAGGAACCGAAGUCGGACAUAGAUGUAAGAAACAGUCUCUUCACUUUUUCUUCUUUUCUUCUCUUUUCCUUCCGUAUAUGUUUCUGUUCAUUUCAAUGGACGUUUGGGACUUGCCUGCAGAGAUGAGCGAAAAAAGUAUCAAAAGAUCGAGACGUUCUGAAAGAAAGGAGAAGGAACGGCAAUCAAU